rnacentral:lncRNA from 1 species
AAAUCUUUUGGAAUCGUUCUGACCAGAAAAGGGUUAGAACGAUCAUCAGCAUCCGUGGAAAACUAUUGUUCUAAUCGCGAAAGGAAUGAGACCCAAGUGAAUUAAAUGUCGGUAAUGUCGUCGCAUUGUUUCACACGUUUCCAUAAAUAUGUCCUCCCAUUCCGCAAGUUAUGGUGUGAUGCUUUAACUAGGAUGUUUGAGUGCGCUUAAGUACUGUUGUAUUUCCAAUGCAAGGAUCUGACUAUGUCUUUCUAUCUACCCACUGACGUGCAAUUUGGACCAUCGAUUUGUCUGGCUCGCUCUCUUAUAUAACAACAAUUUGGUUGUCAAAAGAAAUUUUCGUUUACCUUUCCCCUUGAAUUUCGUUGCUACCUUGUAACCUCAUUUCUCUUACGAACUCCGACGACCUUUGAUCUUCUCAUCAUUUUGUUGAUAUAAGGUUUGUAACUUUGAGGCGUUGUGUCUUUCGAGCUUUCCUCGUUAUUUCAACACUUUCGACCUAUUCUCAUUUUUCCAAGUAUUAUUUGUCUCUU